rnacentral:rRNA from 1 species
GUGUCAGCCGCCGCGGUAAUACUGAGGGUGCAAGCGUUAAUCGGAAUUACUGGGCGUAAAGCGCGCGUAGGCGGUUUGUUAAGUCAGAUGUGAAAUCCCUGGGCUCAACCUGGGAACUGCAUUUGAUACUGGCAGGCUAGAGUAUGGUAGAGGGAAGUGGAAUUCCGGGUGUAGCGGUGAAAUGCGUAGAUAUCCGGAGGAACAUCAGUGGCGAAGGCGACUUCCUGGACCAAUACUGACGCUGAGGUGCGAAAGCGUGGGGAGCAAACAGGAUUAGAAACC